rnacentral:tmRNA from 2 species
GGGGAUGAUCGGUUUCGACGGAGGUGGUUGGCUCAGAACUGCAAGCCGAGAGGCGCCGACCUCGCAAAAUCAGCGCAACACAUAAGUGCCACACGCACUGAAUACGCGGCUCUACCCCUCGCUGCCUAAAGCAGCCGCAGGAUGAGCUCGGCUCUCCAAGGAGAGCCCGCCCCCUCACACCACCCUUGACCGGUGUGAGGCCAGGUGACAGAGAGUCGAGGUGCCGCGCGGGACGCCACUCAACGCGCGAAAGAGGAGCUCUCGGGCUCCGGUGGCUAACCUGAUGGACUGCCCGUCGACUGGCGACCGUCAGGCGAAACCCAAUAGGCCGACUAUGCUUGUAGAUGUUCUGUGACUGAAACUUUCGGACGCGGGUUCGAUUCCCGCCAUCUCCACCU